UGAAUACGAGAUGCUACGGCGUCGAAGCAGUGUAUGUCAGACUUCCAAGAAAAGCUCGCAAUGUCAUAAAUAAAGAAUGCCUGUACCAUAACCGACACAGGUGGGUAGGUAGAGUAUACUAAGGGGCGCGAGAUAACUCUCUCUAAGGAACUCGGCAAAAUAACUCCGUAACUUCGGGAGAAGGAGUGCCUUCUUUAAGAAGGUUGCAAUAACAAGAUCCAAGCAACUGUUUAUCAAAAACACAGGUCUCCGCUAAGUCGUAAGACGAUGUAUGGGGGCUGACGCCUGCCCAGUGCCAGAAGGUUAAAGAAGUUGGUUAGCUUUUGCGAAGCUGAUGACUGAAGCCCUGGUGAACGGCGGCCGUAACAAUAACGGUCCUAAGGUAGCGAAAUUCCUUGUCGGGUAAGUUCCGACCCGCACGAAAGGCGUAAUGAUUUGGAUACUGUCUCGGAGAGGGACUCGGUGAAAUAGACUUGUCUGUGAAGAUGCGGACUACCUGCACCAGGACAGAAAGACCCUAUGAAGCUUUACUGUAACUUGAAAUUGAAAUUGGACUUUAUUUGCGCAGUAUAGGUGGAAGGCGUUGAAAGUAAUCUUGCGGGAUUAGUGGAGCCAUCAGUGAGAUACCACUCCUAUAAUGUUAGAUUUCUAACUUUGGAUCAUGAUCUGGUCAAAGAACAGUUUCAGGCGGGCAGUUUGACUGGGGCGGUCGCCUCCCAAAUGGUAACGGAGGCGUACAAAGGUUUCCUCUGAACGGGUAGAAAUCGUAUCUAGAGUGUAAAGGCAUAAGGAAGCUUGACUGUGAGACCUACAAGUCGAGCAGGGACGAAAGUCGGUCUUAGUGAUCUGACGGUGCUGAGUGGAAAGGCCGUCACUCAACGGAUAAAAGUUACUCUAGGAUAACAGGCUGAUCUCCCCCAAGAGUUCACAUCGACGGGGAGGUUUGGCACCUCGAUGUCGGCUCAUCGCAUCCUGGGGCGGUAGUACGUCCCAAGGGUUGGGCUGUUCGCCCAUGAAAGCGGUACGCGAGCUGGGUUCAGAACGUCGUGAGACAGUUCGGUCCAUAUCCGGUGUAGGCGUUAGAAUAUUGAGAGGAGCCUUCUUUAGUACGAGAGGACCGAGAAGGACAUACCUCUGGUGUACCAGUUAUCGUGCCAACGGUAAACGCUGGGUAGCUAUGUAUGGAGAGGAUAACCGCUGAAAGCAUCUAAGUGGGAAGCCCACCUCAAGAUGAGUAUUCU
rnacentral:rRNA from 1 species